ensembl:lncRNA
UCCUCAUGAAGUCCAACAGACUAUACAGGACUUACCUUUCGAAGGGCCCACGGUUUUCUCAGAAAAGACGGACAAACGGCUCCAUAGCCUAAAGGACUCGCGGACCACCCUCCGUUCUUUAGGCCUACACACCCCUGUUACUCAGCGUAGGCAGUUUAGGCCGCCACAGGCCCCGCAUCCAUAUCAACCUCAAAAUCGAGGUGAUGCCGUGCGCAGGAGACCGCGGACUGGCAGGAGGAGGCAACAACAGCAGCCCUUUGGACAGUCUUCUGCCCAACCAAGGCCUCCGCAGGGGCCUAGGCCACCAUUUUGAGGGUUCGGUCGAGGACGGCCUACCGGACAGAUCUCUGGAUCCUCCCAACCGUACCUUUUCAUCACCUCUGUCCCCCUUCUAUCGUGCGUGGGCCCAGAUCACAUCAGACGCUUGGGUGCUUCGCACGGUAGAGGAAGGAUAUUCUAUCCAGUUUUCCUCCCUCCCGCCCCACCAGCCCCCCACCCCAUUCCUCUUCAGGGACCCCUCUCACGAGCAACUUCUCCUUCAAGAAGUUCAGUCCCUCCUUACAGCAGGGGCAGUGGAGGAGGUGCCUCCAGAACUACGGGGCAAGGGCUUCUAUUCUCGAUAUUUCCUAAUACCGAAAGUGAAAGGGGGCCUCAGACCUAUUCUGGACUUGCGGCGUCUCAACAAGUUUGUCAAGAAGCUCAAAUUCCGCAUGGUCUCCCUGUCCUCCAUCAUUCCUUCCCUGGAUCCAGGAGACUGGUAUGCCGCCCUCGACUUAAAGGAUGCAUACUUCCCUAUCGCUAUAAUCCCUCGCCACAGGCGUUACCUCAGGUUUCUCGUCGGCGACGUUCAUCUACAGUUCACGGUCCUACCCUUCGGUCUAUCAGCAGCCCCAAGGGUCUUCACGAAGUGCAUGGCAGUCGUGGCAGCCUUCCUCCGCAGGCAAGGAAUCCAGGUAUUCCCUUACCUGGACGAGUGGCUCAUCAAGGGCAGGACCAAGGCACUCGUGGAGGCUCAGGUGGUCUUCAUCAGGCACACCUUCAGCUCCCUCGGCCUCUUACUCAACGAGGCCAAGUCCACUCUUUCUCCAACACAACGAAUCGAAUUCAUAGGAGCACUUCUGGACUCGACACAAGCCAGAGCAUAUCUCCCAGAGGCCAGAUUCCGAACUUUGUCCAACAUCAUUCUCGGCCUCCAAAGUUACCCUACAACCACAGUAAGAAGCUGCCUCAAAUUACUAGGACACAUGGCAGCAUGUACCUAUGUCAUCAGACACGCCAGGCUCAGACUGUGCCCUCUCCAAUCUUGGUUGGCAGGGGUUUAUCGGCCAGUCAGGGACUCCCUACACUCAGUGGUGACGUUACCUCGUCCGGUGUUGGACUCCCUUCAAUGGUGGCUCGACCCACGGGUGGUCUGCACGGGGGUCCCUUUCCUCGAACCAGAGCCCUUCCUGACCCUGGUAAUGGAUGCGUCGGAUCGGGGAUGGGGUGCACAUCUGGGCCACCUCCAGACCCAAGGUCUUUGGUCAGGGGAGGAUCUUUCAUCGCACAUCAAUGUCAGGGAAUUGCGAGUGGUACGCCUCGCAUGCAUGGCAUUCAAGUCCCAGCUCGCGGGCAAGUGCGUUUCUGUCCUCACAGACAAUACUCCAACGAUGUUUUAUAUCAACAAACAGGGUGGUGCUCGCUCCUCUCCCCUUUGCCAGGAGGCCCUCGCAUUAUGGGACUUUUGUGUACAGAACGUAAUUCACCUGAUAGCAUCCUACCUCCCCGGCACGCACAACGCGCUUGCGGACACUCUCAGCCGCUCGUUCCAGGGUCACAAGUGGUCUAUCAGUUGGGAUGUAGUUCUCUCAAUUUUCCAACUCUGGGGUCAUCCCCGGGUGGACUUAUUUGAUUCCAACGAGAACAGGAAGUGUCGUCAAUUCUGCUCCCUCAUGGGACGCAGUCAGGGAUCCCUAUCAGACGCGUUUCUCCUCUCUUGGGCAGACGGGCUUCUUUACGCCUUCCCCCCGAUUCCCUUGAUUCACAAGGUGAUCCUCAAGGCCCGCAGAGAUCAUGCUCGACUCAUCCUCAUAGCUCCUGCGUGGCCACACCAGCAUUGGUACGCGUCUCUCCUACACAUGUCUACAAAGGUUCCGCUCAGAUUGCCCCUACUACCAGACUUGAUCACG